AACUCUGAGGACUUUGAGGCUGAUUUUCCUUCUCUUCCUGUCCUUUGUUAUAUAGAUUAGAUACGGCAUGGAGCUUUAUGAACAUAAGAAGCCCCUGGUUUCCAGUGUCACCCUGUAGAGAUUUAAAGGUCCAUGGAACAAGAGCCUGUGAUAAGGCUUCUGUUACCAUUUUCUAUAGAAAAAAAAGGUUGUGAAAAUUUAUAAAUAAAAAUCAGGAAAAAAAUAAAGAAAAAUAAACAAAACCUGAAGAAUUCUUAAAAGUAUUUGGAAAUUGGGGUCAGUUCUGAGAUGUGCCAGGGCAGUCUGCAAAGACCAGUACAACAAUGUUUAUGUAUGUUUGGUUUCCAAGACUGGCUUUCGUGGAAACAGCAUGAUACAAAGUGGUUUUGGUCAGCAAUCUCAAUACCUUUCACACCAGCACAGUGCAAAAUAGACAGUUUAGGCUGACAGUGUUAGUGUCAACUCUGUAUUCCUGUGGUUGAAGUUCAAACUUCACACUCAGGUUUCAAGCCUGUUACCUACAGACAGAAGGCAUGGCAAGCACCACUAUCUCAGGAAACAAAAAUGGGCUUGAUCACUGCUACCAGCAGCUGCCUGGGAGCUGGUGGAGACUUCGUCGUUCAUGGAGACCCAAAGCAUAGAAAAAGCAAGUUGAGCUGGACUUGUAUUGUCUUUACUUUCAGAUUCAAAGAGAGGAUCACAGCAAGUCAAUGGAAGAUCACGAAGCAAUCUCAUCUUGGAUUGUAUUUUGAAUUUGAUUAUGUUAGAAAUGACUCUUUGUAAGGACUCAUCUCCAUGUGAUUCCUGGCCCUGCUUCCAUCAAGCCUUCAGCAAUCUCGUGGCUUUCCUGGGAUGCUUCUACACAAACUGCUUUGACUUACCCCAUUCUGUAUGGCUUUAAUCAGCCCAAUGGUGUUUCACACUGGUUUCACUGCAAGAAUUAAAUAUGCCUUGUGUCAUUUGUGGCUUCAUCAGAAUUAUUUUUUCCAGUGCCAGUGAAAAAGGAGACAAGGGAGUGGUAGGGAAUAAAGGGGAGGGAGUGUUUACUGACAGCUGAAUGCCUUCUUGGCCUUGUCUUGGCUUUUCCUCACACAUUGCUUUUGUUAAUAUUGUCUCUCUGGAAACAUGUUGCUUUUUGGAAGUUGAUUUGCCUGUACAGAGCAAUACAGACCUUUGUCAGAA